rnacentral:tRNA from 1 species
GCCCCCGUAGCUCAGGGGAUAGAGCACUGGCCUCCGGAGCCAGGCGCGCAGGUUCGAGUCCUGCCGGGGGUACCG